rnacentral:rRNA from 1 species
AGAGUUUGAUCCUGGCUCAGGACGAACGCUGGCGGCGUGCUUAACACAUGCAAGUCGAGCGGAAAGGCCCUUCGGGGUACUCGAGCGGCGAACGGGUGAGUAACACGUGAGUAAUCUGCCCCUAGCUCUGGGAUAGCUCCGGGAAACCGGGAUUAAUACCGGAUAUGACCACUACGGACAUCUGUUUUGGUGGAAAGAAUUUCGGCUAGGGAUGAGCUCGCGGCCUAUCAGCUUGUUGGUGGGGUAACGGCCUACCAAGGCGACGACGGGUAGCCGGCCUGAGAGGGCGACCGGCCACACUGGGACUGAGGCACGGCCCAGACUCCUACGGGAGGCAGCAGUGGGGAAUAUUGCGCAAUGGGCGAAAGCCUGACGCAGCGACGCCGCGUGGGGGAUGAAGGCCUUCGGGUUGUAAACCCCUUUCAGCAGGGACGAAGCGAAAGUGACGGUACCUGCAGAAGAAGCGCCGGCUAACUACGUGCCAGCAGCCGCGGUAACACGUAGGGCGCAAGCGUUGUCCGGAAUUAUUGGGCGUAAAGAGCUCGUAGGCGGUCUGUUGCGUCCGCUGUGAAAACUCGGGGCUUAACCCCGAGCCUGCAGUGGAUACGGGCAGACUAGAGGUAGGUAGGGGAGAAUGGAAUUCCCGGUGUAGCGGUGAAAUGCGCAGAUAUCGGGAGGAACACCGGUGGCGAAGGCGGUUCUCUGGGCCUUACCUGACGCUGAGGAGCGAAAGCGUGGGGAGCGAACAGGAUUAGAUACCCUAGUAGUCC